rnacentral:rRNA from 1 species
UACGUAGGGUGCAAGCGUUGUCCGGAAUUAUUGGGCGUAAAGAGCUCGUAGGCGGUUUGUCGCGUCUGCUGUGAAAACUGGAGGCUCAACCUCCAGCCUGCAGUGGGUACGGGCAGACUAGAGUGUGGUAGGGGAGACUGGAAUUCCUGGUGUAGCGGUGAAAUGCGCAGAUAUCAGGAGGAACACCGAUGGCGAAGGCAGGUCUCUGGGCCACUACUGACGCUGAGAAGCGAAAGCAUGGGGAGCGAACAGG